rnacentral:rRNA from 1 species
UACGGAGGGUGCGAGCGUUGUCCGGAAUCACUGGGCGUAAAGGGCGCGUAGGCGGCCUGAUAAGUAGGGGGUGAAAUCCUGCGGCUUAACCGCAGGGCUGCCUUCUAAACUGUCAGGCUGGAGCACAGUAGAGGCAGGUGGAAUUCCCGGUGUAGCGGUGGAAUGCGUAGAGAUCGGGAAGAACAUCAGUGGCGAAGGCAGCUCGCUGGGACGUGACUGACGCUGAGGCACGAAAGCGUGGGGAGCAAACAGG